rnacentral:lncRNA from 1 species
CCACCGGCGCUGCAGUCGCCUAUGCCUCGGCCGUCGACGACGUAACUUCCAUUCACGCCAGCAACAGCUGGACAACGGCUACGACUUGGAUUGGUGGUGCCUCUGGUGCCAGAGAUGGAUGGGCCCAGGGUGAGAACAAGCCGCCUGUUGGUGCGGGAAUCAGCAACUGCGGGUGGAGCAACACCAGCAAACGGCCGAUACCUGCGGACACGGCCACGGCGCGGCCGUGCCCGGUCCAUGCCCAGGCUCAAC